rnacentral:rRNA from 1 species
AUUGAACGCUGGCGGCAGGCCUAACACAUGCCAGUCGAGCGAGCGGCGGACGGGUGAGUAAUGUAUGGGGACCGACCGAUAGAGCUGGAUAACCAUCGGAAACGGUAGCCAAAUCCCCAUAUUAUCGGAUAACCCAUAUGGGAUUAGCUAGUUGGUGGGGUAAUGGCUCACCAAGGCCACGAUGCCUAGCUGGUCUGAGAGGAUGAUCAGCCACACUGGGACUGAGACACGGCCCAGACUCCGACGGAGGCAGCAGUGGGGAAUAUUGCACAAUGGGCGCAAGCCUGAUGCAGCCAUGCCGCGUGUAUGAAGAAGGCCCUAGGGUUGUAAAGUACUGUCAGUGGGGAGGCGUUACCGACAGAAGAAGCACCGGCUAACUCCGUGCCAGCAGCAGCGGUAAUAC